GUUGAACGCUGGCGGCAGACCUAAUACAUGUAGGCCGGGCGUGCGGCGGAGGGGUGAGCAAUGUAUGGGGAUCUGCCACUUGGAGGGGGAUAACUACUGGACACGGUAGCUAAUCCCGCAUCCUAUACGAUGAACACAUAUGGGAUUAGCUUGUAGGUAAGGUAACGGCGUACCUAGGCGACGAUCCCUAGCUGGUCUGAGAGGAUGAUCAGCCACAGUGGGACUGAGACACGGCCCAGACUCCUACGGGAUGCAGCAGUGGGGAAGAUGGCACAAUGGGCGCAAGCCUGAUGCAGCCAUGCCGCGUGUAUGAAGAAGGCCUUCGGGUUGUAAAGUACUUUCAGUCGGGAGGCGUUACCGACAGAAGAAGCACCGGCUAACUCCGUGCCAGCAGCCGCGGUAAUUC
rnacentral:rRNA from 1 species